rnacentral:rRNA from 1 species
UACGUAGGUGGCAAGCGUUGUCCGGAUUUAUUGGGUUUAAAGGGUGCGUAGGUGGUUUGUUAAGUCAGGGGUGAAAUCCCGCGGCCCAACCGUGGAACUGCCUUUGAUACUGGCGAACUUGAGUGCGUGAGGGGUAGGGGGAACGAGCAGUGUAGCGGUGAAAUGCGUAGAUAUUGCUCGGAAGGCCAGAGCCGAAGGGGCCCUACUGGUGCGCAACUGACACUGAGGCACGAAAGCGUGGGGAGCAAACAGG